AUUGCCGUGUUUAAUUUCUAAAGUUUGUCUUCGAACUUUAGAAGUUGGACGUCAGAGUGCGUGCAUGAUCGGAUUUAAUUUUAUCGAUAACGUUAAUGCGAUUAUGCUGAAAACAGAUAUCGAAAGAAUUUCUACAGACUAACAAACAAUUGUUAAUGGCUCUCAUGUUAGGUAAUCAUCAACCAAUCAGUCUGAAUAAAUUAUUUAAAAUUUUAAUAUGAAUUAAAUGUAGAAGACAAGUCUUUCUGCGACGGAAGGUAGUUCGAGAAUGCUAACUUUUGAUGCUGUCUCGCAAAUAGAAGGCGAACGAGCAGGCAGUCACAACAAUUAACGGUCCACCUCUUACACAACAUACGUAGCAUGACUAAAAUCAUGCGAAAUGUAAUAGUAAACGAAUAGAUGAGUGUCCUGUAUUGAUGCUACAGUUCAUAAUCACGCGUCCAGGCCGACACCAAACCGAAUGGAAAAACGGGGCUGCUCCUUUUCAAGGGGUGUACAUUCCAGGGUUGAAAAUGUUGGAGCAUAGUCACGUGGUACGCCAUGACAGUGGUGUUCUACAAAUUUUGUUUGUAAGUCACUAAUGCGCGUGUUUUGCUUUGGAGCAGUGUGACCUUUGUGACACGUUACAAAGAGACGUGAGUCAGCUAGAAAUCGAAUUUCAAUUUACACCUGACACAACUACAUUUCUUGUAAACAAAAACAUGUCAGAGAUAAAAUAAAUAUGAUCAUUUGGUUCGGUA